UGGCGAACGGGUGAGUAACACGUGGGUGAUCUGCCCUGCACUUUGGGAUAAGCCUGGGAAACUGGGUCUAAUACCAGAUAGGACCAUGCUUUGGAUGGUGUGGUGGAAAGUUUUUUCGGUGUGGGAUGAGCUUGCGGCCUAUCAGCUUGUUGGUGGGGUAAUGGCCUACCAAGGCGUCGACGGGUAGCCGGCCUGAGAGGGUGUACGGCCACAUUGGGACUGAGAUACGGCCCAG
rnacentral:rRNA from 1 species